GUGGGAUGGGCUGGGAGUGGCUGAGGGGUGGUCUAUGGUGAUAGGUGGGAUGGGCUGGGAGUGGCUGAGGGGUGGUCUAUGGUGAUAGGUGGGAUGGACUGGGAGUGGCUGAGGGGUGGUCUAUGGUGAUAGGUGGGAUGGACUGGGAGUGGCUGAGGGGUGGUCUAUGGUGAUAGGUGGGAUGGACUGAGGGGGCGGGAUUUAAGAGCUGAUGUUCGGUAAUGUAUUAUUGUUAUGUGACUGAUGUAUAUAAAAGUGCCAUGUAUGUCAAAUGUGUGUCUAUGUAGCAGGAAAGCUGUAUAAAGAAGAAUAUAUUUCUCCUCUGCAGAGCGGUGGCGGUGGAGGGGUUAAAUAACC
ensembl:lncRNA